GGAGAGAUGUCCGAGUGGCUUAAGGAGCACGCUUGGAAAGCGUGUGUACCUGACAAGGGUACCGUGGGUUCGAAUCCCACUCUCUCCG
rnacentral:tRNA from 1 species